rnacentral:rRNA from 1 species
UCCUACGGGGGGCAGCAGUAGGGAAUCUUUCACAAUGGACGAAGGUCUGAUGGAGCAACGCCGCGUGAGUGAAGAAGGGUUUCGGCUCGUAAAGCUCUGUUGGUAGUGAAGAAAGAUAGAGGUAGUAACUGGCCUUUAUUUGACGGUAAUUACUUAGAAAGUCACGGCUAACUACGUGCCAGCAGCCGCGGUAAUACGUAGGUGGCAAGCGUUUUCCGGAUUUAUUGGGCGUAAAGCGAGUGCAGGCGGUUCCAUAAGUCUGGU